CUGUGAGUCUGCUGCUGUUUUGUUCAUUCAGUUUUGCUUUGCUGUUAUACUCCACAAAUGAGUGAAAUUAUUUGGUACUUGUAUUUCUCCACCUGGCUUAUUUCACUGAGCAUAAUACCCUCUAGCUCCAUCCAUGUUGCUGCAAAUGAGUUUACUACUCAACAAGCAGAAACCAUUGUUUCUGCAUUGGUCAAGACCGUGGAGGCCAACAUGAACAUCAUGUACAAAGACAUGGUCGCCAAGGUGCAGGAGGAAAUCACUCUUCAGCAAGUAAUGUCUCAGAUUGCUAAUGUGUAAAAAUACAUGAUUAUUUUGGAGAAGAGUGAAUUUUCAGCCCUUAGAGCAGAAAAAUGAGGUAAAGAGCUGCUCAUACUUAUGAAAUGCUUUCUAUUAAGACAUUGAGACAUAAUGUGCAGAAAGUGCACAAGUAUUCAUCUUGAUGCAUCUUGACACAAUGUACCCUGCCAGUCAGAUCAGGGAGGACAUUGCUAGCACUCCAGGCCUGCCUUUGGCCCUUCUUGUAACCCCCUCCUCUGAGGAGACCAGUAUCCUGGCUCACUUUAACAUUGACUGGUUUUGAGUAUUCCGGAGCUUCAGCUGAUGAGAUCGUACAGUGUGUCUUAGAGCAGCAGAUCAUUCUUUUCCUUUGUCUAUCAUAUGUGAAAUAUGCCACA